AGCGAAUAGAUACCCAGGUAGUCCUGGCCGUAAACGAUGUCCACUAGAUCGUGGUGGCUCUGACGCCAUCAUGGUCGAAGCAAAGUGCUAAGUGGACCGCCUGGGAAGUACGGUCGCAAGGCUAAAACUCAAAGGAAUUGACGGGGGCUCACACAAGCGGUGGAGCAUGUGGUUUAAUUCGAAGCAACGCGCAGAACCUUACCUGGGCUUGACAUGCUAGGAUUAUCUCUAUGAAAGUAGAGUAGGCCCUCGGUACGAACUAGUACAGUGCUGCAUGCUGUCGUCAGCUCGUGUCGUGAGAUGUC
rnacentral:rRNA from 1 species